GAUGAAGAACGUAGCAAAAUGCGAUAAGUAAUGUGAAUUGCAGAAUUCAGUGAAUCAUCGAAUCUUUGAACGCACAUUGCGCCCGCCAGUAUUCUGGCGGGCAUGCCUGUUCGAGCGUCAUUUCAACCCUCAAGCUCAGCUUGGUGUUGGGACUCGCGGUAACCCGCGUUCCCCAAAUCGAUUGGCGGUCACGUCGAGCUUCCAUAGCGUAGUAAUCAUACACCUCGUUACUGGUAAUCGUCGCGGCCACGCCGUAAAACCCCAACUUCUGAAUGUUGACCUCGGAUCAGGUAGGAAUACCCGCUGAACUUAAGCAUAUCAAUAAGCAGGA
rnacentral:misc_RNA from 1 species